CACAGUUGAAAAGAAAAUAUAACAUAUUAUAUUUUUCCAAAAUAACAUUGAUAUUAUUAUAUUAACCAGGCCAUUUGCAAAAAUUAUCUACCAAAUUAAAUAAAAUUAUUGACAGAUAGAAGAGCCUUUCAUUUUGGGAAAUAUGAAUCGCUUGCAUAUUCUCCAAAUAUGACAACAAAUAAAUAUUUUCCUUUAAAGGGAAUAUUAUAAGGUUUUCUGUACUUCAACUCUCUUCCAACAAUCCACAAACAACCAAACCUCAAAGGGAGAAAUUGAAGCUAAGGUCAUCUACACCAACCUUCAAGCCUUUUAUAUAAUUUAUCGCGGUGUUCGGAACAUGUUAAAGAGGAGGCAGUGGUGAAUGGAAGCUGACAGAAGAUAGAGAGCACUGAGGAUGAUAUGCAGAUUAAAUUUGCUGCAUCUCAACUCCUUUGUGCUCUCUAUGUUCUGUCACCACCUUUAGCCCCUCUAUCCUUAAUUUAAUUUAAUUACCAAUUAUAUUUCGUUGCUUUUCAUUUCUUGGUUCAUGUAGCCGACUUUAACAUUGAUUGGGAUUAAGGUUUCGAUGUUGUUGCAAUUGUAUGUAUAAUAGGCGAAUGCGAGGCGCUGACAGAAGAUAGAGAGCACAGAUGGAUGAAAUGUUUGAAAUUUGCAUUUUAUUACCUUUGUGCUCUCUAUCUCUGUCAUCACCUUCCUCCCUUCUACAUAUACUAAUGUUCUUUUAUUAUGUUUAGUAAUUAUUUAGGAAUGUUUUUUAUUUGCAUAUGUUAUGCUUAAUAUAUAAAUCAUGGCCUUGUUUAUUUGUAUUUACAUGUUUGUUUAUGCAAAUUGAAUUUCAGAUGGAAUUCUAAGGCAAUGAAAUGGUAAGUCUAUUUCUUUUGGAUUAAGAGGCUUAAAUUGAAUUUGACUAAUUAUUGUCUUCAUAUAUUUAGGUUAUAUUUGAUUAAGGUAUAUUCAAUAGAGAAGGAAAGCGCAAGAAAUUGGAAUGGAUAUUGAUUAUUGAAGACCUCAGAUUAAGAGGGAACCAAAUUGUCUAUAAAUCUCGAGCACCGGAAGAUGAUCAAUAAGACGAACAACAUUUAAUUGAAGCACGAGCUACUUCUUUAAUACUGUAUUUUUAAUUAUUUGGUCAACACUUUGCUAAGAGAAAAUCAAAUUAGAGAAAUAUUUCAAGGUAGUUUAUAUAAUUAAGGGCGGUGAUUGUCAGUUUAAGAUAUGUAAUUAUGGGUUUUAAUUAUUAAAUUAGGCCAGCAAAUAGUUACUUUGUACUUUAUACAGUAUUAAAUUUUAACUAUACGAUUGUGUACUUAAUAACUAUACUUGUAAAUUGAUACUCCGUAGUAGACUUUUUAUUAGUAGAGUACAAGUUUUCACAUGGAAAUGGCAGACCAUGAUGUAAUUUGUCCGCUAAUCAUGUGAUAAUGAGACCUUUCUAUAUUAAGUUACCUUAGUCAGUUUCCAUAUGUGGUAAAAAAUGUACACUUUCCACAAUUGGAAAAGACUAUAUUACAGUACUGAAAAAGGUACAUGUGUAAUUACAAAGUUUUAAGUACAAUAAUUGAUCACUAAGCAAGUAGAAUAUCUAAUUUUUAUUUUAAAAAAAAAAUAAAAAUAAAAUAAAAAAUUAAAGUAAGGAAAAGGACCCUUAUCAUAUCUCAACCUAACUCUUAUGGUAUUAAGGAAUCCCGGCCUCACCCCCAACCUUAG